rnacentral:rRNA from 1 species
GACCAGACUCCUACGGGAGGCAGCAGUGGGGAAUAUUGCACAAUGGGCGAAAGCCUGAUGCAGCAACGCCGCGUGAGUGAUGAAGGCCUUCGGGUCGUAAAAAUCUGUCCUCAAGGAAGAUAAUGACGGUACUUGAGGAGGAAGCCCCGGCUAACUACGUGCCAGCAGCCGCGGUAAUACGUAGGGGGCAAGCGUUGUCCGGAAUUACUGGGCGUAAAGGGCGCGUAGGUGGGUGCUUAAGUCAGGUGUGAAAGCUCUGGGCUCAACCUGGAGACUGCACUUGAAACUGGGUAUCUUGAGGGCAGGAGAGGAAAGUGGAAUUCCUAGUGUAGCGGUGAAAUGCGUAGAUAUUAGGAGGAACACCAGUGGCGAAGGCGACUUUCUGGACUUUCCCUGACGCUGAGUCGCGAAAGCGUGGGUAGCGAACGGGAUUAGAUACCCUUGUA